rnacentral:rRNA from 1 species
GGGGAAUUUUGGACAAUGGGCGCAAGCCUGAUCCAGCAAUGCCGCGUGCAGGAUGAAGGCCUUCGGGUUGUAAACUGCUUUUGUACGGAACGAAACGGUUCUUUCUAAUACAGAGAGCUAAUGACGGUACCGUAAGAAUCAGCACCGGCUAACUACGUGCCACCAGCCGCGGUAAUACAGAGGAGCCAAGCGUUGUCCGGAUUGACUGGGCGUAAAGCGCACGCAGGCGGACGCGCGCGUGGGGUGUGAAAUCUGGCCGCUUAACGGCCAGGCGCCAUCCCAUACGGCGCGUCUGGAGUGAUGCAGAGGUCGGUGGAAUUGCCGGUGUAGUGGUGAAAUGCGUAGAGAUCGGCAGGAACACCCAGGGGGAAACCAGCCGACUGGGCAUCUACUGACGCUGAGGUGCGAGAGCGUGGGGAGCGAAC